GCCAUUCGAUGGUAGUGUCUAGUCAGAAACACUUAUUGAUUUUCCUCCUUUAAUUUAAAUAAUUUGUUAAAACCAUUUGUAUUAAAAUAAAGAUAAUGUAGUUACUAUCCAUCAACGUUAGCGUCAGCUAGUUCCGACAACCGCUUGCGAAUAUGGUCGAUGGGCGCAGGGAUGUCUGUAGGAGACGUUAGGGGCGGUGACAUAUUUUGCUGUUGCAGUUCGAAGGUCAACCUCGCGUCAAGAACCACAGAAUCGAACAUACCGAGGCUUCUCAGUGACAUUCGCGAUUCGUUCUUCAACUGUGGGCAAUUCUUUCGGUACAACUUGAAGACUGCGAGCCACGUGGGUGUCAAAUUCAACCUAUAAAUAAAUUAUAGCUUAAUUUAAUAAAAUAAUGUAAAUAAAUUUCGACAAGCAAAAUGUAAUAUAAAUGAUGUCCUGGUACCUGAAAGAGUUCCUUUAUAGCUUUUGGUGUAAAAAGUUGUGAUUGCUGAUCACCGCCUAGUUGUUUCAUAUAAUCACAAAAGUUUUGUGUUAUCUGUGAAAUAUAAAUUAAAAAAGCAUUUAAAAUUCAUACAAAAUACAUUUAUGAAGUCGGAUUAAGAGGUAUCUUGGAAAGUUACUGUUGAGUUUUUCAAGUAUUUUGCGUUUGCAAUACAUUUUGCGAUUAAGGUGCGAAAACAUCUUAAGAGAUUGAAAUAAUUGCAGUGCUAUCCAUAUAUACUAUUAAAAUCUUAAAAUAGACAACU